rnacentral:rRNA from 1 species
UACGUAGGGUCCGAGCGUUGUCCGGAAUUACUGGGCGUAAAGAGCUCGUAGGUGGUUUGUCGCGUUGUUCGUGAAAACUCACAGCUCAACUGUGGGCGUGCGGGCGAUACGGGCAGACUGGAGUACUGCAGGGGAGACUGGAAUUCCUGGUGUAGCGGUGAAAUGCGCAGAUAUCAGGAGGAACACCCAUGGCGAAGGCAGCUCACUGGCCAUUAUCUGACGCUGAGGCGCGAAAGCGUGGGUAGCAAACAGG